CACGUAGGGUGCGAGCGUUGUCCGGAAUUAUUGGGCGUAAAGAGCUCGUAGGCGGUGUGUCGCGUCGGCCGUGAAAACCUGCAGCUUAACUGUGGGCUUGCGGUCGAUACGGGCAUCACUGGAGUUCGGCAGGGGAGACUGGAAUUCCUGGUGCAGCGGUGAAAUGCGCGGAUAUCAGGAGGAACACCGGUGGCGAAGGCGGGUCUCUGGGCCGAAACUGACGCUGAGGAGCGAAAGCGUGGGGAGCAAACAGG
rnacentral:rRNA from 1 species